AGAGUUUGAUCAUGGCUCAGAGCGAACGCUGGCGGCAUGCUUAACACAUGCAAGUCGCACGGGCAGGGGAAACUCUGUCAGUGGCGGACGGGUGAGUAACGCGUAGGUAUCUAUCCUUGGGUGGGGGACAACUGUGGGAAACUACAGCUAAUACCGCAUAAUAACUGAGGUUUAAAGGCGCAAGUCGCCUGGGGAGGAGCCUGCGUACGAUUAGCUAGUUGGUGGGGUAAAGGCCUACCAAGGCUGCGAUCGUUAGCUGGUCUGAGAGGAUGAUCAGCCACAUUGGGACUGAGACACGGCCCAAACUCCUACGGGAGGCAGCAGUGGGGAAUAUUGGACAAUGGGCGAAAGCCUGAUCCAGCAAUGCCGCGUGUGUGAAGAAGGUCUUCGGAUUGUAAAGCACUUUCGACGGGGACGAUGAUGACGGUACCCGUAGAAGAAGCCCCGGCUAACUUCGUGCCAGCAGCCGCGGUAAUACGAAGGGGGCUAGCGUUGCUCGGAAUGACUGGGCGUAAAGGGCGCGUAGGCGGAUGACACAGUCAGAUGUGAAAUUCCCGGGCUUAACCUGGGGGCUGCAUUUGAUACGUGUUGUCUAGAGUGAGGAAGAGGGUUGUGGAAUUCCCAGUGUAGAGGUGAAAUUCGUAGAUAUUGGGAAGAACACCGGUGGCGAAGGCGGCAACCUGGUCCUUGACUGACGCUGAGGCGCGAAAGCGUGGGGAGCAAACAGGAUUAGAUACCCUAGUAGUCC
rnacentral:rRNA from 1 species